rnacentral:rRNA from 1 species
UUGGAGGGCAAGUCUGGUGCCAGCAGCCGCGGUAAUUCCAGCUCCAAUAGCGUAUAUUAAAGUUGUUGCAGUUAAAAAGCUCGUAGUUGAACCUCGGGGUCUACCCAUUGGUCAGGCUUAAUUGUCUGCACUGGUGAGAUGGAUCUCUACCUUCUGAGGAACUUUCAUGCCAUUCAUUUGGUGUGAUGGGAAAUCAGGACUGUUACUUUGAAAAAAUUAGAGUGUUUAAAGCAGACUAUCGUCUGAAUACAUUUGCAUGGAAUAAUGAAAUAGGACGGACUGAUUCUAUUUCGUUGGUUUCUAGGAUCACCGUAAUGAUUAAUAGGGAUAGUUGGGGGCAUUAGUAUUCAAUUGUCAGAGGUGAAAUUCUUGGAUUUAUUGAAGACUAACUACUGCGAAAGCAUUUGCCAAGGAUGUUUCCAUUAAUCAAGAACGAGAGUUAGGGGAUCGAAGACGAUCAGAUACCGUCGUAGUCUUAACCAUAAACUAUGCCGACUAGGGAUCGGACGAAGUUAAUUUUAUAAUGACGCGUUCGGCGCCUUACGGGAAAC